CAGCCGCCACGGUAAUACGUAGGGUGCGAGCGUUGUCCGGAAUUAUUGGGCGUAAAGAGCUUGUAGGCGGUCUGUCGCGUCUGCUGUGAAAACCCGAGGCUCAACCUCGGGCCUGCAGUGGGUACGGGCAGACUAGAGUGCGGUAGGGGAGAACGGAACUCCUGGUGUAGCGGUGGAAUGCGCAGAUAUCAGGAAGAACACCGAUGGCGAAGGCAGUUCUCUGGGCCGUAACUGACGCUGAGAAGCGAAAGCGUGGGGAGCGAACAGGAUUAGAUACCCCAGUAGUCCCUGUCUCUUAUAC
rnacentral:rRNA from 1 species